UACGUAGGGUGCAAGCGUUAAUCGGAAUUACUGGGCGUAAAGCGUGCGCAGGCGGUUCGGAAAGAAAGGUGUGAAAUCCCAGAGCUUAACUUUGGAACUGCAUUUUUAACUACCGAGCUAGAGUGUGUCAGAGGGAGGUGGAAUUCCGCGUGUAGCAGUGAAAUGCGUAGAUAUGCGGAGGAAUACCGAUGGCGAAGGCAGCCCCCUGGGAUGAUACUGACGCUCAUGCACGAAAGCGUGGGGAGCAAACAGG
rnacentral:rRNA from 1 species